rnacentral:rRNA from 1 species
ACAAACCAAAUGUUUGAAACUCAAAGGACUUGGCGGUGCCUCAAACCCACCUAGAGGAGCCUGUUCUAUAAUCGAUAAUCCACGAUCUACCUCACCACCUCUCGCCCACAGCCUAUAUACCUCCGUCCACAGCUUACCCUACUAAGGAACAAAAGUAAGCACAAUAGUUUACACAACUAAUAAGUCAGGUCAAGGUGUAGCCAACUGAGGCGGAAGAAAUGGGCUACAUUUUCUACACUAGAAAUAUUAACGGAAAGAACCCUGAA